UGGUUAUUACCAAGGUUUUUAGAAUGCAGUUUCUCAUUUGCUGAGGACACGGCUGUAAAAAUUUUCCCCACUAGAUUU
rnacentral:snoRNA from 1 species